CCCAUUCCAUAUUUCAAACCUUCUAGUAUUUCAAUCAUCACGUAUUACGCAACAGACACAACUACACAAGCAGUCAACAAAUUCAGAUAGCAAACAAACAGAAAACUCGAUCACAUGAUUUGGAGCCGAUUCGCGAAGAUUUCAAACUUCCCCCAUUCAACGAUGUCUUACGGAGUUCUGGUCUUCCGAAUACUUCAAUGGAAGCCUUUAAAAUUUAAAACUGACAGUCAAUUGCAAGCAAAACCCAUCAAUGGGACUUGGGAGAGAUGAAAUUCGAAGUACCUCUGUGGGUGAUCUGGAGCUAAUCGGGUUGGAGAGUUCAAAGAGCACCCGAUUUUGGAUGCCUCGAGCUAAUCAGGUUGAGAACGUGUGACUAAGGAACUGAUGAACUCAGUUAUGGUCAACUACUCGGGUAUUACUCUCGCUGACUGCCUUCACCUCUCCUCUCAUCCGUGUUCGAAAUUGAAGCCUUAAUCCUUGAUUGCUGGGUGCUGGGCAAUUUGAUUCACGGUUAGUAUCUAUUUCAGUUUCAAUUUCUUCGAAAAGGGGUAUUAUAGGUUGAUUUGGGUUUCAAUUUCAGUUUUGUAUCUAUUACAGUUUCAAUUCUUGUAAUUGGGUACUGAAUCGAUAGGGGUUUAGGUUGAUUUGGGACUGUGAUUUUGGUUCAUUCACAAUGAUCAUGGGAAAAGGGAUAUGGCUCACUCUGCUUUCUCUACGUUUUGGGUACUGAUCUCAACAUGAUGGUUAUGCAACAGUUAUAGAUUGGAAUUAUGUUUCUCUUUGUGCUGCAAGUUUAGAUUCAGAAUUAUAGAUUGGAAUUUACUCUCUGUUCUCACUCUCUGCAGCAAUAUUUAUAUGUAAUGUAUGCUUAUUUGAGUUAAAGACUGUUAUUUGGGUUUAGGACCAGAUUACUAAUUUGCUGCGAGAGUGAAUGAGAAAAGAUUAAGACAUAGUGUGUAAUAUGAUUUAUACACACAGAUAUGUGAUGUGAUGGUUAACUUGUGGAUCAUUGAAGAGACCAUGUAUAUGAGAUGAGUGAAAAGACUAGAAAUGUGGAUCGUAAGCUCGAAACAAUAUCGUUCUUUUGGUUCAUUCUUUUCCCAGGAAGCAUCUUUAAGAACUCCAAACUUUUGAGUUCUUAUCAAGUUCCACUAGUGAGGAAUUUUCCCAUCCAGAGAUCAUAGUUAGUGCCAUCAGUAAUAGAUAUCGUUCUGAGGAGUUUUCUAUUUUUUUGUAUGAUGGUGGUGGGGGUGGACUUUCACUAGAAUUCAAUUAAGUUUACAAUCUCAGAGAAGUUUUGUAAGGAUUUAGUGUCACAUUCUUAUGAAGUUUAUGAACAUUAUGCGAGAAUGUGGAUACCAUUUUUGGCACUAUAGAUACAUGCCUCUGGUUAUGCUUGUUCCUUCAUUAUGUAGUUCUCUUGAUAAUAUUGCAUUCACUGCAGAGGCAAGUAAUAAGAACCAAAAGUAUUGAAUACAUGCCAUUUACUUUGUCUUUAUUCCUAACACUUUGUGCUAUCAUGUGGUUCUUCUACAGACUUUUCACAAAGGAUUACUACAUUGAAGUAAGUGGUAUAAUUACCAUCUCUUUUUCUGUUUCUUUAUCUGAUGCUACUUAAGAUGUCAUUAAUGUUUAUUAAAGAAAACCUAGCUAGCUACUAAUCAACCUGAGAUGGUUACCAUAUUGUAGUGAAGGAUUGAAUAAUUGAAUCUUUGUGAAUGUGAAUGAGUGAUUUUUGUAUGAAGUAGCUUUGAUCAUUAACAUAGUAAUGUCCUUGAGAUAAAGGCAAAUAGCAAGUAGUGUCCUUUGAUCAUUAUUGCUUGUUCUGUACUGGUGAUAGGGAUAUCUUGUUCUGUGGACAAUGAGUUGUUAGGAAAUAAUACAUUUCUGGUUAAAGGUAUUGAACAGCCUGGCUAGUUACAUGCAGACCUUGUUUUUGUGAUUGAUGAGAAGCUCCAUGACGUUUACAAGAGGAGGUAGCAGUUUACAAGACCUUGUUUAUAUUCUAGGCUAUAGUGGUGUAAGCUGUAUUUUUAUCUGUCAAGCUGCACUAUUAGAAAUGCUGGCAGUUUGAAUUAAGUGUUGUUUCAAUAUGUUUGAUAUAUUGUACUGACUCUACUGAGUGAUCCCACACCAUUCUUUGUUGUAUAUUACAUCCAUAAAUUCAAAAUGUAACUUCUUGUUCUUGGUA